rnacentral:misc_RNA from 1 species
GUGAAUCAUCGAAUCUUUGAACGCAAAUUGCGCUUCCUAGCAUCCCGUGAAGUAUGCCUGUUUGAGGGGCAGUAUUAACAAAAAAAUCGGUUGGGUUGCAAAUGGUGACGUUUCCGGAGUUUGGGCUAUCUUAACUUGUUUGGGUAAGGGGCUUAAAAUUGACCUUUUUUGCGCAUUUUUAGACGUACAUAAAUUUUUUUUUAGUCGUCUAUUCUUAAUGCCAAAAUCUUAUUAGAUGCGAGCACAUCGUGUGGCUUCGUGUCCAGAACAUUUUCAUGAUUUGACCUCAAAUCAGGUAGGA